GGCAACAACAAAAAGAUUAAACUCAAGGCUUCAAAACUGAAGUUCACAACUAUGAGUAACAUCACAAACACUCCUCUGAUACAAUCAAUGUCUGCUCCUUAGAUCACUUACACCUGUGCUCGUUUCUCACCUGCCCCUGAUUCCGCCCUUAGUCAACCCUGUUCAUGUGCUCCAUUGUUUUCCCUUCUCCCCAGCCACAUAUUUUAAACUCUACACUGCCAUGUAGGUUGGAUUACUUUCCAGAAUUUCCUAUUAAUACAAUUUUUGAUGUUGAAUUUUUGUCUCCUGGUUUUUGAAAUGUUGCCUUCACUGUACCUGGAUUUGUUUUCCAUGAUUCAGACUGCCCACCUGACACAGUCCCCUCAGCAAAGAAGAGCGGCUUCCUGGUGUCCACAACAAUGAGGUCGAAGAAGGAGCGCCAUGGCUCUUGAGGCUUUCCAGACUGGAACGAAGAGAAAUGUUAAUAGUACAAUUAAAAGGCCAAUAUCUGAC